rnacentral:rRNA from 1 species
GGGGGCAACCCUGACCGAGCAACGCCGCGUGAGUGAAGAAGGUUUUCGGAUCGUAAAGCUCUGUUGUAAGUCAAGAACGGGUGUGAGAGUGGAAAGUUCACACUGUGACGGUAGCUUACCAGAAAGGGACGGCUAACUACGUGCCAGCAGCCG